GAUGAACGCUGGCGGCGUGCUUAACACAUGCAAGUCGAACGAAGCUGUUAAAAGGAAGUCUUCGGAUGGAAUUUUAACAGACUUAGUGGCGGACGGGUGAGUAACGCGUGGAUAACCUGCCUUAUACAGGGGGAUAACGGAGAGAAAUUUCCGCUAAGACCGCAUAAGACCACAGCACCGCAUGGUGCAGGGGUAAAAUAUUAAUAGGUAUAAGAUGGAUCCGCGUCCGAUUAGCUGGUUGGUGAGGUAGAGGCUCACCAAGGCGACGAUCGGUAGCCGGCCUGAGAGGGUGAACGGCCACAUUGGGACUGAGACACGGCCCAAACUCCUACGGGAGGCAGCAGUGGGGAAUAUUGGACAAUGGGGGAAACCCUGAUCCAGCGACGCCGCGUGAGUGAAGAAGUAUUUCGGUAUGUAAAGCUCUAUCAGCAAGGAAGAAA
rnacentral:rRNA from 1 species